AGUCGAACGGUAGCAGGAAGUGCUUGCACUUCGCUGACGAGUGGCGGACGGGUGAGUAAUGCUUGGGAACUUGCCUUUGCGAGGGGGAUAACAGUUGGAAACGACUGCUAAUACCGCAUAAUGUCUACGGACCAAACGGGGCUUAGGCUUCGGCGCAGAGAGAGGCCCAAGUGAGAUUAGCUAGUUGGUGGGGUAAAGGCUCACCAAGGCGACGAUCUCUAGCUGUUCUGAGAGGAAGAUCAGCCACACUGGGACUGAGACACGGCCCAGACUCCUACGGGAGGCAGCAGUGGGGAAUAUUGCACAAUGGGGGAAACCCUGAUGCAGCCAUGCCGCGUGUGUGAAGAAGGCCUUCGGGUUGUAAAGCACUUUCAGUUGUGAGGAAAAGUGAGUAGUUAAUACCUGCUCACCGUGACGUUAACAACAGAAGAAGCACCGGCUAACUCCGUGCCAGCAGCCGCGGUAAUACGGAGGGUGCGAGCGUUAAUCGGAAUUACUGGGCGUAAAGCGCACGCAGGCGGUUUGUUAAGCUAGAUGUGAAAGCCCCGAGCUCAACUUGGGAUGGUCAUUUAGAACUGGCAGACUAGAGUCUUGGAGAGGGGAGUGGAAUUCCAGGUGUAGCGGUGAAAUGCGUAGAUAUCUGGAGGAACAUCAGUGGCGAAGGCGACUCCCUGGCCAAAGACUGACGCUCAUGUGCGAAAGUGUGGGUAGCGAACAGGAUUAGAUACCCUGGUAGUCCACACCGUAAACGCUGUCUACUAGCUGUUUGUGGCUUUAAGCCGUGAGUAGCGAAGCUAACGCGAUAAGUAGACCGCCUGGGGAGUACGGCCGCAAGGUUAAAACUCAAAUGAAUUGACGGGGGCCCGCACAAGCGG
rnacentral:rRNA from 1 species